rnacentral:sRNA from 1 species
GCUGGGCAUGGUGGUGCACGCCUGUAAUCCCAGAGCUUCGGAGGCUGAGGCAGGAGGGUCAUGAGUUCAAAGCCAGCCUCAGCAAAAGCAAGGCUCUAAGCACUACUCAGUGAAACCCUGUCUCUA